rnacentral:rRNA from 1 species
AGGAUGAACGCUAGCGGCAGGCCUAACACAUGCAAGUCGAGGGGGCAGCGAUCUGUGCUUGCACAGAGUCGGCGACCGGCGCACGGGUGAGCAACGCGUAUGGAACCUGCCCUUUACAGGGGAAUAGCCCAGGGAAACUUGGAUUAAUGCCCCGUGGUACCUUUUAUAGCAUUAUAUAAAGGUUAAAGCCUUCGGGCGGUAAGGGAUGGCCAUGCGUAGCAUUAGCUUGAUGGUGGGGCAACGGCCCACCAUGGCGACGAUGCUUAGGGGCCCUGGAGGAGGGGGUCCCCCACACUGGUACUGAGACACGGACCAGACUCCUACGGGAGCAGCAGUGAGGAAUA